rnacentral:sRNA from 1 species
CAUAUUAUAUGUUUAUUUUAUUUUUUUUUUUAUUCUUUACUAUAUAUACCUCCAUAGUAAUGAUGGGUAUGUAAAGGUGACACACAUUUGGUUAAUUAAAUUUAAAUGUGUGUAAAUUAUAAUGAAUUCCAUUAAAUGGCAUUUUGAGAAUUCUAUAUUUAUAAGAGGCACAUAAAUAAACUUAUAAUGGUUAUAUAAAGUGAAAGGAUUAUAUAAAAUCAUAAGAAAUAUUGAAUAAAUUAGAAAGUAUAAGAAAGUACAUUUAUAGAUAGAUUAUAAACUAAGAAUAAUAUUUGAAAGUAUUAGAUUAUAUAGGGGUUAGUUGAAAGAACCUAGAAAAAAUAAGAAAAUACUGACUUAAUAUUAUAGAGGAUAGAGUUAUAUUGAUUUUACUGGAAGGAAUAAUGAUUUUAUUUAAGUAAAUUAAAAUAAAAAAGAAUGAAUAGUAUUAAGUUAAAAAUAAUUGUAUCUAACAAUAAAAAGUAAAAGCUAAGAAGAAAAAUUACUUAAGAGUCUUUAAAUCAUAAAUAUAAAUUACACCCUAGAACAUUUGAUGCAGAUCAAAAAAACAAUAUGAUGUGUUUAAUAUUUAUUAUUAUCUUCAAGAAGAUAUCAGAAAAAAAACCUUUUAAGUUAGCACUCAGAAGCUUAAAAGGAAAUAAUAGGAUAAUGUAUAAAUAUGAGAUGAGAUUUCUUUAUCUUUAUAUCGAAUCGUAAAAUUGUUAGUACAAGAAAUAAACUGGAAUUGUAAAAAUAAAAUAAAAUAAAUAACUUUAGAACGUCAAAAAAUAGAGUUACUUUUUAUUUGUCAAUAUGUAAGAAGAUUUUUAAUGAACCUACCUGGUAAUUAUAAAUUGAAAAUUGAAGACUGCGAAGAAAAAGAAGAUGCUGAAAAGCAAGAAGAUGCUGAAGAGCUAAAAGAUGCUGAAGAGCUAAAAGAUGCUGAAGAGCUAAAAGAUGCUGAAGAACUAAAAGAUGCGGAAGAACUUAAAAAUGCUGAAGAACAUUUAAAAAUGCUGAAGAACAUUUAAAAAUAAGGUUACCUUAAGUCUUAUUAACAUAUAUAAUAGGUUGUAUGAAGAACGUAGAUGGUAUUACAACUUAAAUAAAACUUAAAGGAUAAAAAUGAAUAAAAAGGUGUAGAACGAAGAUAAAAUAUACAUCUUGAGUAUAUCAAAAGAUAUAAGAUAAUUGAGAGAGAAAUGUAUACAGAUAUAUGGGUAUAUUAAUAAUAAGUAAAUGGAAUCCAGAAACAAACUGAUGUACUCAAAGAUGUCUUAAAUAAACAUGUAUAUGCAGAACAGCAUGAUAGGUUUUUUUUUAUUUUUGUAUAUACCAAUGUUAUUAAUGGUUAUAUAAGAAAUAAGCUGUAAAAUAUACUUAAUAGUGACCUUAAAAGAUUAUGACAUAGAAGAACAGACACAUAUAUAUGAGCUUAUGUAUUUUUUGUUUGUAUAUACCAACUCACUUAAUGGAUUUAUAUAAGAAGAUAACUGACAUUUUAAAAGGCAACGUUACAAAUAUAUAUAUAGGAAAUAGAAGAAGCUUUAUUUUAAUUUUUUUUUUAUAUAUACCAAUGUCUAAAUGGUUGAUAAAAGAAAUGAACUGCGAUAAGUAAAGAAAGCUUAAAACAAGAAAAAAAGGCAUUAUAUAGAAGAAGCACAUUAUAAAAACUAAAAAGGCAAAAUCAGAACUAAAAAUAGAUAUAACUCAGUGCUUAGUACUCAGAACUGAGAACAAAGAUCUUAAAGGCCUCGAAACUCAGAACUAAGAAUGCCCCAGAAUUAAAGAAGCCAUAUAAUUCAGAUCUGAUAAACUGAGAACUGACAAGACAGGAAAUAAAAAAUAUAAAUGUGAUAGAGAAGUAAUAACUGUGAAGAAAAGUUAUGCAAAUAAGCCUUUUUAAGAUAUGUUAUUAAAUACAUAAUAUUGUUAUGCAGAACGGCAUACAUGGAAUGUGUACAGAAAUACAAAAAGGACAUGAAGAAAUUAUAUAGUUAAAUAGAAUCACAAAAUAUGAUAAUGGAGAAAAACAAAUAGUUAUAGGCAAAAUACACAUAAAAGUAUAAAUGAUAUGAAGAAAAACAACGAAUACAUGGAAGAUGAGAGAAGAGUGUGUUUAUAUUUAGAAAAUCUAUUAUAUUCUAAGCCCCAAGAAUAUUAUUGGAAAUUUUUAAUAUAUACAUAUAUAUAUAUAUAUAUAUAUAUAUAUAUAUAUAAGCCUUUUAUAUACAUAGGAAAGUUUUUUAUAUUAUACAAAACCCCCACUUGUGUAUAAUAUAGAGAACUUUUUUUAUUUAAAUUGGCAUAGAAGAUUCUAUAGGAGAUUAUUAAAUGUUAUGGAUAUAUGAAGAAGAAAAAUUUAUAUUUAAGAAAUAUUGUCCUUAAAAGUUUUAUCUUAAUAUUGUUUUUCCAAAACUUUUAAUUUAUUUUGAUAUUUCAGAAAGAAUAUAGUUUUAAUCGUGUGUCUUAAAAGUAUAUAGUGUUUUAGUCAGUGUUUUUUGAAAGAAUAUGGGUUCCUUCCAAUGUGCCUUAAAAUAUUUAGUGCGAUCAGUAUUUUCUUGAGGAUAUAGUUUAUUUUGAUGUACUUUUGAGGAUAUAGUUUUUUUAAUAUUUUGGAAGAUUAAAUAUAUAAUCCUUUCACAAUACUAAAAAGGUAGUACAUUAUUUUGUGUUUCUUAUAUUAUAUAAUUUUCUUAGUGUUGUUUAUGUUUUCAUGAUAAUUUAUGCAUAUAUUUUUUUUAGUUUUUCAUUUUCACCAAUUCAUUCGUUGAACUGUGUGUGGUGUAUAUUGUUUUUUUCUUAUACUUAUGUUUUUUUCUUAUUCUUAUGUUUUUUUUUUUAUUCUUAUGUUUUUUUCUUAUA